GACGAACGCUGGCGGCGUGCUUAACACAUGCAAGUCGAGCGGUAAGGCUCCUUCGGGAGUACACGAGCGGCGAACGGGUGAGUAACACGUGAGCAAUCUGCCCUUCACACUGGGAUAACCCCCGGAAACGGGAGCUAAUACCAGAUACGACCACUUCGGGCAUCCGAUGGUGGUGGAAAGUUCCGGCGGUGAAGGAUGAGCUCGCGGCCUAUCAGCUUGUUGGUGAGGUAAUGGCUCACCAAGGCUUCGACGGGUAGCCGGCCUGAGAGGGUGACCGGCCACACUGGGAAUGAGACACGGCCCAGACUCCUACGGGAGGCAGCAGUGGGGAAUAUUGGACAAUGGGCGAAAGCCUGAUCCAGCAACGCCGCGUGAGGGAUGACGGCCUUCGGGUUGUAAACCUCUUUCAGCAGGGACGAAGCGAAAGUGACGGUACCUGCAGAAGAAGGACCGGCCAACUACGUGCCAGCAGCUGCCGUAACAC
rnacentral:rRNA from 1 species